AUACGGAGGGUGCAAGCGUUACUCGGAAUCACUGGGCGUAAAGCGCGCGCAGGCGGUCUUUUAAGUUGGAUGUGAAAGCCUACGGCUCAACCGUAGAACUGCAUCCAAAACUAUUAGACUAGAGUGUGGGAGAGGAAGAUGGAAUUAGUUGUGUAGGGGUAAAAUCCGUAGAGAUAACUAGGAAUACCAAAAGCGAAGGCAAUCUUCUGGAACACUACUGACGCUGAGGCGCGAAAGCGUGGGAGCAAACAGGAUUAGAAACCCUAGUAGUCC
rnacentral:rRNA from 1 species